CAACCCUCGAACCCCUCCGGGGGGUCGGCGUUGGGGACCUCGGGAGCCCCUAAGACGGGAUCCCGGCCCCGAAAUACAGUGGCGGUCUCGCCGCAGCCUCUCCUGCGCAGUAGUUUGCACAACUCGCACCGGGAGCGCGGCGCGUCCACGUCCGUAAAACACCCAACUUCUGAAA
rnacentral:ncRNA from 2 species